AACGAACGCUGGCGGCAUGCCUAACACAUGCAAGUCGAACGAGACCUUCGGGUCUAGUGGCGCACGGGUGCGUAACGCGUGGGAACCUGCCCUUAGGUUCGGAAUAACUCCCCGAAAGGGGUGCUAAUACCGGUUAAUGUCUUCGGACCAAAGAUUUAUCGCCUUUGGAUGGGCCCGCGUUGGAUUAGCUAGUUGGUAGGGUAAAAGCCUACCAAGGCGACGAUGCAUAGCUGGUCUGAGAGGAUGAUCAGCCACACUGGGACUGAGACACGGCCCAGACUCCUACGGAGGGCAGCAGUGGGGAAUAUUGGACGAUGGGCGAAAGCCUGAUCCAGCAAUGCCGCGUGAGUGAUGAAGGCCUUAGGGUUGUAAAGCUCUUUGACCCGGGAUGAUAAUGACAGUACCGGGAGAAUAAGCUCCGGCUAACUCCGUG
rnacentral:rRNA from 1 species